GGACACAGCGAAGAUCUGCUACGAAGCAAGAAACGGAGAGCUUGCAAAAAUUUUGAUUUAUCCUCGGAUUUAUUAAGUUUUUGUCGAGUGUCUCACCAUGUUGGCUUCGGGGAAAGUCCCCAGACACUUGGUAGAAAGUACCAGAUGUAAAUACUGAAGUCUUUCAUCUUGUUCUAUGGCCAAGAUACCGCAUGGUGGAGUCGAAUAGAUGCAAGAUGUUUCGUCAAAGCACAGUCAUGCAGAUGUCCAAGUUUCAUGGCUUGGUUCAACUCAAUGGGGCUCAUUCUUGCUGUGUU